GACGAACGCUGGCGGCGUGCUUAACACAUGCAAGUCGAACGGAAAGGCCCUGCUUUUGUGGGGUGCUCGAGUGGCGAACGGGUGAGUAACACGUGCGUAACCUGCCCUUGACUUUGGGAUAACUUCAGGAAACUGGGGCUAAUACCGGAUAGGAGCUCCUGCUGCAUGGUGGGUGUUGGAAAGUUUCGGCGGUUGGGGAUGGACUCGCGGCUUAUCAGCUUGUUGGUGGGGUAGUGGCUUACCAAGGCUUUGACGGGUAGCCGGCCUGAGAGGGUGACCGGCCACAGUGGGACAGAGAUACGGCCCAGAGUACUACGGGAGGCAGCAGUGGGGAAUAUUGCACAAUGGGCGGAAGCCUGAUGCAGCAACGCCGCGUGAGGGAUGACGACCUUCGGGUUGUAAACCGCUUUCGCCUGUGACGAAGCGUGAGUGACGGUAAUGGGUAAAGAAGCACCGGCUAACUACGUG
rnacentral:rRNA from 1 species